UAGACCGAGGAAGGUGGGGAUGACGUCAAGUCCUCAUGGCCCUUAUGGGUAGGGCUUCACACGUCAUACAAUGGUCGGUACAGAGGGUUGCCAACCCGCGAGGGGGAGCUAAUCCCACAAAGCCGAUCGUAGUCCGGAUCGCAGUCUGCAACUCGACUGCGUGAAGUCGGAAUCGCUAGUAAUCGUGGAUCAGCAUGUCACGGUGAAUACGUUCCCGGGUCUU
rnacentral:rRNA from 1 species